rnacentral:rRNA from 1 species
UACGGAGGGUGCAAACGUUGCUCGGAAUCAUUGGGCGUAAAGCGCACGUAGGUGGCUUGUUAAGUCGGGUGUGAAAUCCCUGGGCUCAACCCAGGAAGUGCACUCGAAACUGGCGAGCUUGAGUACUGAAGAGGGUCGCGGAAUUCCCGGUGUAGAGGUGAAAUUCGUAGAUAUCGGGAGGAACACCAGUGGCGAAAGCGGCUCACUGGACCACAACUGACGCUGAGGCGCGAAAGCUAGGGGAGCAAACAGG